ACUCAAAUGAAUUGACGGGGGCCCGCACAAGCGGUGGAGCAUGUUGUUUAAUACGUCACUAACCGUAGAACCUUACCAGGGCUUGACAUGGGAGGCACCGGGGUGAAAGCCUCGUUCCGAGCAAUCGGACCUCUACACAGGUGUUGCAUGGCUGUCGUCAGCUCGUGUCGUGAGAUGUUGGGUUAAGUCCCGCAACGAGCGCAACCCUCAUCCCCUGUUGCCAGCGGAUAAAGCCGGGAACUCUGGGGAAACUGCCGGGGUAACUCGGAGGAAGGUGAGGAUGACGUCAAGUCAGCAUGGCCCUUACGCCCUGGGCUACAAACAUGCUACAAUGGACGGUAGACAGAGGGAACCGAGACCGUGAGGUGGAGGCAAUCCCAAAAAUCCGUUCUCAGUUCGGAUUGCAGGCUGCAACUCGCCUGCAUGAAGUCGGAAUCGCUAGUAACCGCAGGUCAGCGAAACUGCGGUGAAUACGUUCCCGGGCCUUGUACACACCGCCCGU
rnacentral:rRNA from 1 species